AGCGUUGUUCGGAUUUACUGGGCGUAAAGCGCACGUAGGCGGAUCGUUAAGUCGGGGGUGAAAUCCUGGAGCUCAACUCCAGAACUGCCUUCGAUACUGGCGAUCUUGAGUCCGGAAGAGGUGAGUGGAACUCCUAGUGUAGAGGUGGAAUUCGUAGAUAUUAGGAAGAACACCAGUGGCGAAGGCGGCUCACUGGUCCGGUACUGACGCUGAGGUGCGAAAGCGUGGGGAGCAAACAGG
rnacentral:rRNA from 1 species